GAUAACCUGCCGAAAGCCAAAGGCGAAUCUGAUUCUGGUAAGUCGCAAUCUGAAACUGAUCGAUCUAGGAAGCGUAGGGGGAGGAGAUCUUAUGAUAGCGAUAGCGAAUCUGUAGAGGAGAGUGAUUCUGAUGAGGAAGAUAGGAGGAGACAACGUAGUAGAAAGAAGAUUAAGAGUAAGAGCUCUAGGAGAUCUUCUUAUGAUAGUGAUUCUGAAGAGAGUGAGGAAGAUAGGAAACUAGGAAGAAAAAGGAAGAAAAGCACAAGUAUUAGGAAGAAGAGAAGAUACAGUGAUUCUGAAUCUGAGAAUAGUGGUGAUGAACAACAACACACCAAGUCAAAGAUCAAGAGGCGGAAGAAGAAGCUCCUCUCAGGCGACGAGGAAGAUAGGGGAACACGCCGAGAGGAACACGCCGACGAGAGGGAUGAUGAUGAUGAUGAUAGCGAUAGCGAAUCUGUAGAGAGUGAUUCUGAUGAGGAAGAUAGGAGGAGACAACGUCGUAGUAGAAGGAAGAUUAAGAGUAAGAGCUCUAGGAGAUCUUCUUAUGAUAG
rnacentral:lncRNA from 1 species